UGGGGAAUCUUAGACAAUGGGCGCAAGCCUGAUCUAGCCAUGCCGCGUGAUCGAUGAAGGCCUUAGGGUUGUAAAGAUCUUUCAGGUGGGAAGAUAAUGACGGUACCACCAGAAGAAGCCCGCUACAUCCGUGCCAGCAGCCGCGGUAAUACGGAGGGGCGUAGCGUUGUUCGGAAUUACUGGGCGUAAAGCGCACGUAGGCGGAUCGGAAAGUCAGAGGUGAAGUCCCAGGGCUCAACCUUGGAACUGCCUUUGAAACUCCCGGUCUUGAGUUCGAGAGAGGUGAGUGGAAUUCCGAGUGUAGAGGUGAAAUUCGUAGAUAUUCGGAGGAACACCAGUGGCGAAGGCGGCUCACUGGCUUCGAUACUGACGCUGAGGUGCGAAAGCGUGGGGAGCAAAACA
rnacentral:rRNA from 1 species